rnacentral:lncRNA from 1 species
CAUCACGUUCUUUUAACAACCGCAACUCGUACUGGGUGUAAGAAAAACAAUUGUCCAUACGACGAAUGCCUUCUACAUCAUGCACGGUUGCGGUGUCAAAUUGCGGUCCAUCCUCUUCAUUUUCUACCCCGACGUCCUCAUAUUCAUGCCCACCACUCUCAAAUAGUGAUUCCUCCUCUACCUCCACACCUACUACCCCAUCUUCCUCCAAUUCACAAUCUUCGGAACCCAUAGAGACAUUAUCAACAUCUAUAUUUGCUUCAUCCCUCUCAAAAAUGUUAUUGGGAAAAUCAUCAUUGGCAAUAGCCAAGUCAAAAUCACGUUCUGUUUCACCUAACACGUGAUGCAACAUUUCUGACUCCUGGGUACCAUUAUGGUUCACUACCGCCACUUCC